GACGAACGCUGGCGGCGUGGAUUAGGCAUGCAAGUCGGACGGUAGGGCUUUAUCGUAAGAUAGAGUUUGAGAGUGGCGAACGGGUGAGUAACACGUAGGAAUCUACCCUUAAGACGGGGACAACCCAGGGAAACUUGGGCUAAUACCGGAUGAGAGUGCGAGAGAUUGCAUUUAAAAGGAUGGCGAAAGUUGUCGCUUAGGGAUGAGCCUGCGGUCUAUUAGUUAGUUGGUGAGGUAAGAGCUCACCAAGGCGAUGAUAGAUAGGCGGCCUUAACGGGUGGUCGCCCACACUGGGAUUGAGAUACGGCCCAGACUCCUACGGGAGGCAGCAGUCGAGAAUAGUCUACAAUGGCCGGAAGGCUGAUAGUGCGACGCCGCGUGAACGAGGGAGCCCUUCGGGGUGUAAAGUUCUUUUCUAUACGAGCAGUGCUAUAUAUAUGGAUAGUAUAUAUAGAGGGAUAGUAGUAUAGGAAUAAGCACCGGCUAACUACGUG
rnacentral:rRNA from 1 species